GACGAACGCUGGCGGCGUGCCUAAUACAUGCAAGUCGAGCGAAGUUUUUCUGGUGCUUGCACUCGAAAAACUUAGCGGCGAACGGGUGAGUAACACGUAAAGAACCUGCCUCAUAGACUGGGACAACUAUUGGAAACGAUAGCUAAUACCGGAUAACAGUAUUUCUCGCAUGUGAGAUAUUUAAAAGUUGGUUAUGCUAACACUAUGAGAUGUCUUUGCGGUGCAUUAGCUAGUUGGUGGGGUAAAGGCCCACCAAGGCGACGAUGCAUAGCCGACCUGAGAGGGUGAUCGGCCACACUGGGACUGAGACACGGCCCAGACUCCUACGGGAGGCAGCAGUAGGGAAUCUUCCGCAAUGGGCGAAAGCCUGACGGAGCAACGCCGCGUGAGUGAAGAAGGAUUUCGGUUCGUAAAGCUCUGUUGUUAGGGAAGAAUGGAUAUGUAGUAACUAUACAUGUAAGAGACGGUACCUAACCAGAAAGCCACGGCUAACUACGUG
rnacentral:rRNA from 1 species